ACCUUGCGCUCGUGGGAGCCGGCGAUGGUCGGUAUUAGCUAGGUUGGUGGGGUAAAGGCCUACCAAGGCGACGAUCCGUAGCGGGUCUGAGAGGAUGAUCCGCCACACUGGGACUGAGACACGGACCCGACUCCUACGGGAGGCAGCAGUAAGGAAUAUUGGUCAAUGGAGGGAACUCUGAACCAGCCAUGCCGCGUGAAGGAUGACGGCCCUCUGGGUUGUAAACUGCUUUUCUGCGCCAAGAAACCUGUCAACGAGUUGACAGCUGACGGUAGCGCAGGAAUAAGCACCGGCUAACUCCGUG
rnacentral:rRNA from 1 species